CGAAGAUUAACUUGUGUAUAUAUAAAUUAAUAAUAUCACUUGUUCCUUAUUACGAGAUACACACUAACAUAAUUAAUAGAGUCACGCACAGAAAUAUGGAGCUCUUAAAUUAAUAAUAUUACAUAUGUUUCUGGCCGACAAUAACUCGUACGUAACUCGUGGACGUGAUGAUAACAUUACGAGGCAUGGUCCUCGAUUCGUACGGUCUGUCACCUGUUUGGGGUGUGUCCGUGCGUUAAUCAAACACACAGCAAUCCAUUUGUAACCCAAACACAGCCGUGCAGCACACACAUGACCGCGUCACGAGCGGCCACCAGAACGUG
rnacentral:sRNA from 1 species